rnacentral:rRNA from 1 species
UGUACACACCGCCCGUCGCUACUACCGAUUGAAUGGCUCAGUGAGGCGUUCGGACCGGCUCAGGGAGGGUGGGUAACUACCCCUCAGGGCUGGAAAGUUCUCCAAACUCGGUCAUUUAGAGGGAGUAAAAGUCGUAACAAGGUCUCCGUUGGUGAACCAGCGGAGGGAUCAUUA